AUACGGAGGGUGCAAGCGUUAUUCGGAAUCACUGGGCGUAAAGGACGCGUAGGCGGGUUGGCAAGUCAGAUGUGAAAUCCUACAGUUUAACUGUAGAACUGCAUUUGAAACUGCUAACCUAGAGUAUGGGAGGGGGAGAUGGAAUUAGUGGUGUAGGGGUAAAAUCCGUAGAUAUCACUAGGAAUACCGAAAGCGAAGGCGAUCUCCUGGAACAUAACUGACGCUAAGGCGUGAAAGCGUGGGGAGCAAACAGGAUUAGAAACCCUAGUAGUCC
rnacentral:rRNA from 1 species